GGGUCCUCCCCCAGAAAAUUCUGAGCAUCAAAUACUUCAUUUCCUGCAUUCUGGUUAAUUUUUAUGCACCAAUUUGUGCCUUUUCUGCAUCAAUUUAUGGUGGAAAUGUCUUUAUUUAUGUAAAGGAAAACACAAAAUUCCGUUUUUAUUUGGGGGGUAAUGGUAUUAUCAAACCAUUAAAUAGAUUUCUAUUAGUGCAGCAUCUAGUAGACUUCUAAUAAUGCAUAAUCUGUUUCCUAGUUUAUUUAUGACAUGAUAAUGCGGUUAUAAUGAAGAUGUUUUUCCGUACUCUUUAUGAUUUACUUGUCCGAAGAUGGCAGAAGUUACCGAUAAAGAAUAAAUAUGACUUUUAGAAGUGAAAGUGUGUGUUUUGCAGGACAUUGUAAGUGUGAUUUCAAACUAAUUAAAAGGUGAACUGACUUAAGGGAAUUCUGCAGGUCCUCCAGUUCUAAUGGCUGCUGACUGGUGACGUCCACAAGUGAAGGCUAUUUUUAUAUGACCAGCUCCCUAUAAAAGGCACAAGAGUGGAGCUGUCCUUUCAGUUAUCCAGAAGGUGUCACACACCUGCUGGAUAAUCACACCCCUAGCACUGCAGGUCUGACGAUCAAAGAGAUUCUUUUAAUAAGAAAUUUCACUCCAGGUUUUUUUUUUUCUGAAACAUUUUCUUCCAUCUUGUGCACCAGUGGUUACCAUGGAAACUACAUCAGCUGUGACAUCCUUCGUAUUGUUGUCAUUCACCAAACUGGAAGAUUGCAGAUAUUUAUACUUCGUAUUUUUCCUUCUUUGAUGAGCCUAGAACUGACUCUACAUCCAGGUGAUUAUGGAAAAUUUAUCAACUGUGACAUCCUUCAUUUUGACAGCAUACACUGAACUGGAAGAUCAUAGAUAUUUAUACUUCAUAUUUUUACUCAACUUGUACAUUCUGAUAUUAUUGGUAAAUGCAGUUCUAAUUGUAGUAAUAUGCAUAGAAAGAGGUUUGCAUGGGCCUAUGUAUUUAUUUAUAUGUAACUUAGCAGUGAAUGGAGUGUAUGGUAGUACCUCUUUAUUACCAUCUAUGCUUCACCAUUUGUUAUCUCAU